rnacentral:rRNA from 1 species
UGCAGUCGAGCGGACCGACGGAGCUUGCUCCCUUAGGUCAGCGGCGGACGGGUGAGUAACACGUGGGUAACCUGCCUGUAAGACUGGGAUAACUCCGGGAAACCGGGGCUAAUACCGGAUGCUUGAUUGAACCGCAGGUUCAAUUAUAAAAGGGGGCUUUUAACUUCCACUUACCGAUGGACCCCCGGCGCAAUAACUUGUUUGUGAGGUAACGGCUCACCCAGGGCACCAUUCGUAACCCAACUGAAAGGGUGAUCGGCCACACUGGGACUGAAACACGGCCCAAACUCCUACCGGAGGCAGCAAUAGGGAAUCUUCCGCAAUGGAAGAAAGUCUGACCGAACAACCCCCCGGGGGUGAUGAAAGUUUUC